rnacentral:rRNA from 1 species
AACGAACGCUGGCGGCAGGCCUAACACAUGCAAGUCGAGGGGUAGCAAGAUUGUAGCAAUACAAUUGUUGACGACCGGCAAACGGGUGCGGAACACGUACACAACCUUCCUACAAGUGGGGAAUAGCCCAGAGAAAUUUGGAUUAAUACCCCGUAACAUAGCGAUGUGGCAUCACAUUGCUAUUAUAGCUUCGGCGCUUGUUGAUGGGUGUGCGGCUGAUUAGAUAGUUGGCGGGGUAACGGCCCACCAAGUCUACGAUCAGUAGCCGAUGUGAGAGCAUGAUCAGCCAAACGGGCACUGAGACACGGGCCCGACUCCUACGGGAGGCAGCAGUAAGGAAUAUUGGACAAUGGACGCAAGUCUGAUCCAGCCAUGCCGCGUGAAGGAUUAAGGUCCUCUGGAUUGUAAACUUCUUUUAUAAGGGACGAAAAAAGGUCUUUCUAGAUCGUCUGACGGUACCUUAUGAAUAAGCACCGGCUAACUCCGUGCCAGCCGCCGCAGUAACAC